rnacentral:rRNA from 1 species
UGGGGAAUUUUGGACAAUGGGGGCAACCCUGAUCCAGCAAUGCCGCGUGUGUGAAGAAGGCCUUCGGGUUGUAAAGCACUUUUGUCCGGGAAGAAAUCGCACCUGAUAAUACCGGGUGUGGAUGACGGUACCGGAAGAAUAAGGACCGGCUAACUACGUGCCAGCAGCCGCGGUAAUACGUAGGGUCCAAGCGUUAAUCGGAAUUACUGGGCGUAAAGCGUGCGCAGGCGGUUGUGCAAGACCGAUGUGAAAUCCCCGGGCUUAACCUGGGAAUUGCAAUGGUGACUGCACGGCUAGAGUGUGUCAGAGGGGGGUAGAAUUCCACGUGUAGCAGUGAAAUGCGUAGAGAUGUGGAGGAAUACCGAUGGCGAAGGCAGCCCCCUGGGAUAACACUGACGCUCAUGCACGAAAGCGUGGGGAGCAAACAG